rnacentral:rRNA from 1 species
ACGCUGGCGGCGUGCCUAACACAUGCAAGUCAACUUGACUGAAGGAGCAAUCUGACAGUAGAGUGGCGCAAGGGUGCGUAACGCGUAAGUAACUUGCCCAAGGUAAGGAAUAACGUCGAGAAAUCGGCGCUAAUACCUCAUAAUGCAGCGGAUCCGCAUGGAUAUGUUGUUAAAGGUUUACCGCCUUGGGAUAGGCUUGCGUCUGAUUAGCUAGUUGGUGUGGUAACGGCACACCAAGGCUACGAUCAGUAACUGGUCUGAGAGGAUGAUCAGUCACACUAGAACUGAGACACGGUCCAGACUCCUACGGGAGGCAGCAGUGAGGAAUAUUGGGCAAUGCUCGAAAGAGUGACCCAGCAACGCCGCGUGGAGGAUGAAGGUAUUCUAUAUCGUAAACUCCUGUGAGAGCAGACGAAAGACAGAUUAUUAAUCUGGAUGACUGUAUGCUCAGAGGAAGCCCCGGCUAACUACGUG